UACGUAGGGUGCAAGCGUUAAUCGGAAUUACUGGGCGUAAAGCGUGCGCAGGCGGCUUUGCAAGACAGAUGUGAAAUCCCCAGGCUCAACCUGGGAACUGCGUCUGAUACUGGAUGGCUUGAAUUCGGGAGAGGGAUGCAGAAUUCCAGGUGUAGCGGUGAAAUGCGUAGAUAUCAAGAGGAACACCUGCGGCGAAGGCGGGUUGCUGGGCCGACACUGACGCUGAGGCGCGAAAGCCAGGGGAGCGAACGGG
rnacentral:rRNA from 1 species